rnacentral:rRNA from 1 species
ACCCUUAGAUGUUCUGGGCUGCACACGUGCUACACUGGCAGGUUCAGCGAGCUUCAUGCCCUGAUCUGAAAGGAAUGGGAAAUCUUUUCAAAACCUGCCGUGCUUGGGAUAGAUGUUUGCAAUUAUUCAUCUUCAACGAGGAUUGCCUUGUAAGCGCACGUCAUCAGCGUGCAUUGAAUACGACCCUGUAUUCUGUACACACCGCCCGUCGCUCCUACCGAUUGAAGUUUUCGGUGAGUUGACAGGAGGAUUUUUUUGAAACUGGUUCGCCAGUGGAUUUUAGAUCCAAAUGCCAACGAAUCGAUGGCUGUAGAGGAAGGAGAAGUCGUAACA